AUUUCGGCAUUUGGACUUGUAUGGACUGAGAUAUACCGAUUACAGUUUUCUGUGUUUUGCAAACCUGUUUUGGUGAUUCUGGUUUAGUGUUUGGCAUUUUUGACCUAGUUGGGCCAGGAACUGGAUUAAGCGACCUUCUACAUUGUUGUAGCUCUGUUUCAUAGCUUCGAAACGGUGGGUCUUACACCCCCAUCCGAUAACCGUAGAGAAUUUGACGCCAUUACCGCAUAAUGAGUGUAAAACAGUUUUCUAUUUGGGGCCAAGACUAAGGCCAUUUUCUAAUUUCUGGUUUGCUAUUAUGCUUAUAUAUGUAUAUGAAACCCUAUUGGGGUUGUGAUUGGCAUGGCUUUAUGAAACCCUAUUGGUUGGCAUGGUUUUAGGCUUACUCUUAUUCCGGUCAGUUUCUAGCUAACUUUUGUACUUGUACUAC
rnacentral:lncRNA from 1 species